ensembl:lncRNA
CUGGUGUGGGUAGGCGUCUCCAGAACCCAACAGUCUCUUGUUUUGGUCAAACAGCAUCCAGAGCUGAGAGUCAAACUCUGAUUCAUACAACUGGUCACACAUUACUGGACAGCUGGGGGUCACCUCUCCUGACUUAGGCUGGGGAGAGAGGUGGAGAGGUAGAGAGGUCAGACACACAGUACUGGACAGCUGGGGAGAGAGGUAGAGAGGUCAGACAGUACUGGACAGCUGGGGAGAGAGGUAGAGAGGUCAGACUGUACUGGACAGCUGGGGAGAGAGGUAGAGAGUACAGACAGUACUGGACAGCUGGGGAGAGAGGUAGAGAGGUCAGACAGUACUGGACAGCUGGGGAGAGAGGUAGAGAGGUCAGACAGUACUGGACAGCUGGGGAGAGAGGUAGAGAGGUCAGACAGUACUGGACAGCUGGGGAGAGAGGUAGAGAGGUAGAGAGGUCAGACACACAGUACUGGACAGCUGGGGAGAGAGGUAGAGAGGUCAGACA